GCCGGGGUAGCUCAGAUGGUAGAGCAGAGGCCUGAAAAGCCUUGUGUCAGGUGUUCGAUUCACCUCCCCGGCACCA
rnacentral:tRNA from 1 species